rnacentral:rRNA from 1 species
GACGAACGCUGGCGGCGUGCUUAACACAUGCAAGUCGAACGGAAAGGCCCUGCUUGCAGGGUACUCGAGUGGCGAACGGGUGAGUAACACGUGGGUGAUCUGCCCUGCACUUCGGGAUAAGCUUGGGAAACUGGGUCUAAUACCGGAUAGGAGCCAUCUUUAGUGUGGUGGUUGGAAAGUUUUUUCGGUGUAGGAUGAGCUCGCGGCCUAUCAGCUUGUUGGUGGGGUAAUGGCCUACCAAGGCGGCGACGGGUAGCCGGCCUGAGAGGGUGUACGGCCACAUUGGGACUGAGAUAUGGCCCAGACUCCUACGGGAGGCAGCAGUGGGGAAUAUUGCACAAUGGGCGCAAGCCUGAUGCGGCGACGCCGCGUGGGGGAUGAAGGCCUUCGGGUUGUAAACUCCUUUCGCUAGGGACGAAGCUUUUUUGUGACGGUACCUAGAGAAGAAGCACCGGCUAACUACGUG